rnacentral:rRNA from 1 species
GGCGUAAAGGACACGUAGGCGGGAUGCCAAGUCUGAUGUGAAAUCCUAUGGCUCAACCAUAGAACUGCAUUGGAAACUGGUAACCUAGAGUAUGGGAGGGGGAGAUGGAAUUAG